rnacentral:misc_RNA from 1 species
AAGUCGUAACAAGGUUUCCGUAGGUGAACCUGCGGAAGGAUCAUUACCUUUCAAUGCAGAAGAGUUGAGAUGGUUGAGUAUCUCGCCUCUCAAUUCUCGCUGUAUUUUACCCUUGUUUUUCUCAUACUAUUAUUUCCUCGGCAGGCUCGCCUGCCGGGUGAAAUAACUUCAAACCUGUUUAAUUUUCAAUCAGCGUCUGAACAAAUUAAUAAUUACAACUUUCAACAACGGAUCUCUUGGUUCUG